rnacentral:rRNA from 1 species
CAGCCGCCGCGGUAAUACGUAGGGUGCGAGCGUUAAUCGGAUUUACUGGGCGUAAAGCGUGCGCAGGCGGCCCGUUAAGACAGGUGUGAAAUCCCUGGGCUCAACCUAGGAAUUGCGCUUGUGACUGGCGGGCUCGAGUACGGUAGAGGGGGGUGGAAUUCCUGGUGUAGCAGUGAAAUGCGUAGAGAUCAGGAGGAACACCGAUGGCGAAGGCAGCCCCCUGGGCCUGUACUGACGCUCAUGCACGAAAGCGUGGGGAGCAAACAGGAUUAGAUACCCUGGUAGUCAACGCCCUAAACGAUGGGUACUAGCCGUUUGGUGCGCGAUAGCGCUGAGUGGCGAAGCUAACGCGUGAAGUCCCCCGCCUGGGGAGUACGGCCGCAAGGUUGAAACUUAAAGGAAUUGGCGGG